AAAUAAAAGUCUCCGAAUUCUAUGAAAAAUCAUGCCUUUUGGAAGUCGAGGAGCAAGAUUUCAUUUCUAAGGCUGCCGAUUUGCCAAUCCAUGCACAUAUUAUUCAUUUUGGAGAAGACCUGCCUCCUAACUUCAAAAGCCUUCUAAUUCGAUCCUUGAUUAGUAGAUAAAAUCCAAUUUUCCGCGGCGUUGGCAAACUAUCUGUGGGUUGCAGUUUCUGUUGGUAUU
rnacentral:misc_RNA from 1 species